UGAAUUGACGGGGCCCGCACAAGCGGUGGAGCAUGUGGUUUAAUUCGACGCAACGCGAAGAACCUUACCAGGGCUUGACAUCCCCUGACCGCGUAUGUAAAGUACGUUUUCACCCUCGGGUGACAGGGAGACAGGUGGUGCAUGGUUGUCGUCAGCUCGUGUCGUGAGAUGUUGGGUUAAGUCCCGCAACGAGCGCAACCCUUAUCUUUAAUUGCCAGCAUUCAGUUGGGCACUUUAAAGAGACUGCCGGUGUUAAACCGGAGGAAGGUGGGGAUGACGUCAAGUCCUCAUGGCCUUUAUGCUUAGGGCUACACACGUGCUACAAUGGGUGGUACAAAGAGAAGCCAACUCGCGAGAGCGCGCCAAUCUCAAAAAAGCCAUCCUCAGUUCGGAUUGGAGUCUGCAACUCGACUCCAUGAAGUUGGAAUCGCUAGUAAUCGCGGAUCAGCAUGCCGCGGUGAAUACGUUCCCGGGCCUU
rnacentral:rRNA from 1 species